GUGGAUUAGAUACCCUGGUAGUCCUAGCCGUAAACGAUGGGCACUUGGUGUUGGGGGUAUUGAGUCCCCCGGUGCCGGAGUUAACACGUUAAGUGCCCCGCCUGGGGAGUACGGUCGCAAGACUGAAACUCAAAGGAAUUGACGGGGGCCCGCACAAGCGGUGGAGCAUGUGGUUCAAUUCGACGCAACGCGAAGAACCUUACCGGGGCUCGAACGGUAACUGCGAUUUCUGGAAACAGAGAGUUCUCUUCGGAGACGGUUAUCGAGGUGCUGCAUGGCCGUCGUCAACU
rnacentral:rRNA from 1 species